rnacentral:sRNA from 2 species
CCAACCAGUGGAAAACCACGCAGAAAUCUGUUGCUGUGUGAUGGCAACAUAGCGAAAGCAAAGACCGCGAAAACCGGAUUCCUGCAUCAAUAAUCAGCACAAUUUAUGCACCGCUCAUACCUAUGAAAUAAAUAAAACAAAAUAAGCAAGCCAGUUGUGCGCUUGAAUUUUCUCUUCUGCUUUGAAAGAGGACGCUCACAAAACACCUUCCCCGGGUUAAUUGAUACGUGCUACUUCAAGGAAGAUUGGUCAAAACUUGACCCAGGCCGGUUGAGAGACGAAAAUGCAGCCACUGGAGAGGACAGGGGACGAAAAAUUUACCUCCCUAGGUGCAUUCCGCAAACUGGUGAUCGUCCGACCCGCAUCUGAUGUGAGUUGUGUUUGGAUAGAGACACUAAAUCACAUGAUAUAGUGUGAUUAAGAACACUGAUUAGAGAAACGCAACCUAUCUACCUGCGUGAUAUCUGAUUGAUUGCUGAUAGAAUCAAGCAUGCUAGCUACCCACCUACCUGCCCAUCUCACUGCAUGAUAUUCAAUUGAUUGCUGAUGAAAUAUAGAAUGCUAGAUAGCUGUCUAUCUAUCUAUCUGCCUAUCUAUCUGCCUACCUACCUGCGCGAUAUCAGAUCGACUGCUGAUAGAAUUUGGAAUGCUAGCUAGAUAGCUAGCUACCUAUCUACCUCCCUACCUUCCAACCAACAUGGCUGCUCAAUAUCCAACCAAUCUCUAUAAGAAUAAACAUCAUCAUCUAGCUGCCCACCUAUCUGGCAAUGCUGGCUUACUAGAUGACUACCUGGCUGUCUACCUGCCUAUUUAUCUACUCACCUGCUUGAAUGAUUGAUCUCUACCAAUGAUAUCAUUAUCUAGUGAUGGUGAUAUAUGUUGAUGGUGAUAUAUCAAUGAUAUCUAGUGAUGAAUGUCGAUGAUGAUAUAUUGGUGAUAUAUAUCGAUAUUAAUAAUAUAUAAAUAUAUAGUUGAUAUAUUAUUGCAGUGGUUCUGUUGCUUACAAGAAGCUUCAUAAUCUGUAGAAGAAUAAUGUUGUUGUGUAUAUUAACUAGCUAAGUGAGAACAACACAAUAAUAGAUUGAGUGGCACGUGUCUGAGGUAGCCGUAGUAAUGGCUAACAUGAUCAUAUUUAUAGGCAAAAUCCCUCAUAAACUUGAUCAGCUGAAUAUUCGAGAACACCGUCAAUAAACGCGACAUAUUUGCUUCAAAAAAAUGGAAAUUUGUCGAAACCGUCUCACAGAAAAUAGUCGAUAAGCUUUGCUGUUUUGACUCUAGCGUCUAGUCGGAUCAACACUCAAUGAUGUCACAGCUCUCCCGACACAAAAGGACAACAUGAAAACAGAUCCCCCAACAUAUAAUAGACGGCAAGAAACACAUAACUCUAACAAUAACAGAGACAGAACAUGAGAUAAGAUUCCAUCAAUGCUAUUUGAAUGCCAUAAAUGCAUAUGUCGGCUUUUGUAUGUUGCUGGUAGCAAUGUUUUGAUGCAAUAACAUUGUCAGCCUUGUCAGGUUUGAAUGUGGAAUAGUGUGUUGCAGCAUCAUUUUGGCUUGGAUGCUCAUCCUCCAUGCUCAGGUAUAUAAGGGAGAUGUAAUGACUGCUUUGCUGACAUGCCUACUUCAUAGCAACUUUGACAGUAUUCGGUUUCAGGAUGUCUUUGUACUUCUCGGCUGCAUCAGGAAUGGAUGGGAUGUUAACUCCUGUGCUGAAGCACGUUCUUCAGGGAGCCACCUGAAUAUUUUGCUGAGAAAAUCCAACAACAGCCUGUGGUCCUCACCUUCCAGACGCCACUCUCUCGUGUCAAGCGACUGCUCGGGAAUGGGCGUUGCCGCAAUCCACUGUCCUUCAUCAUCCCAGUACUUGCGGCAUUUCUCACUCCGUUGAAGGAAGCUCUGUGGGGGAGGCCCCAUGAGGGCAACCAUCUCAGCAAGAUGUUGCUCAUCAUCCAGAAUGCGGUUUUUAAGGGCAUAAAAAAGGCGACCGCCUUCAAAUAAAUCCCAUACCUGCCACAUUGUGAGCAGGUAUGUACUGGCUCUUGGUAUGAAAGGAUGUUGGGCAUAUUUUGCAGUCCCAUUCCAUCCCUAGUAUCACCUCCGGUGCACGAUAGAAGUCAGGCAUCACAUCGCCCAGAUGCUUCCUUUCGCCAAUCCUAGCCCCUCCAAAGUCACAAAGAACUGGCGUGCCAUCGGUUAUGGGCAUAGAAUGGGACCGAUAGAUGGUCCGGUCCCGAAGGACUUUGCGAGCGCUAGGAUGCUCUAACUCAGAUUGCUCGAUUUUGGAAAACACAGAGGGGCUCCGGGCACCUAAAAGGAUAUUGUUAGGCGAGAUAUCUAAAAUGAGAACAAAACUAUUAGCGCAGUCGUUUGCAGACACACGGAAUACUGAAUUAACCUGUUCCAGAGGUGACACAGAAUCAUACCUGUAUGUACCACGCUCAAUUGGUGCAGAAGAUCUAGACCAAUCAGGAUUAACUGGUAAGUCUGCUGGAGCAGUGCCUUAUCCAGCAUGCGAUCUGGCUGUGAAUUGCGGAACUCAGUAUAAGUCAUCCCCUGAGGCGUAUAGAGUAGGCAUCUGUGUUCCCCCCCAGGCCCAUAGAUGGUGAACUCUCUGAUUAUGAGUCGGAGGUAUCUUUCACCGGGAUGUUCAACAUCAGCGGCUCGAAUAUGUCUCGCUACAGCCACUUCAUUGGUAGACUGGGCAGCGACACCAGCUUCCUGUCUGCAGGUGCAGACUUUCAGAGUUAGUCAUUUCUCACUUCAAGUCCCGGCAGAGCCAUACACUCGAGCCCACUCCAAACCCUAGCUUCGCGAUGACUUGAUAUCUAGAUUUGAACACAUCUCCCAGUCUGACUGGGUAGAAAUCUUCGGAAUUAUAAUCUGGGAGCUCCUCUUCUUCUAAUUUCACGUCGUGGGGCAGCAGUUGGUGUUGACUCCGGGUCACAGUUGAGCCGUUUCGAACGAGAUGUGAGCUCAUGGUUAUCGCAGGCGCAUGGCGACGUUCUGAGAUAGAAGCGCAACGAGCAGCAGGGAAAUGAUAUGGUAUCGGAUAACAGAAUAAGAACGGCCGUAAUACGAACCGAAGAGAGGUGCGAACGACCAUGACUAGAACGUUUGGUAUUUUUCAGGUGGUGCAGACUUCAAAUCCUACCCUCGUAAUGUUGAGCUAAGGACCUCUUCCAUGCAGCCUCAUAGAUUUCACAGUUCGCGUUUCAAGUAUACUUUGUGGAACAAAUCCACACUGUAAUUUGCAUUGCUCAACGGGGAACAAAUGUUACAUACAACAGAAUUUCUUCUUCGUAUUAGACCUCUUUGCAUGGCGCUUUGCUUGGAGAGCUGGAUAGCCAUCCUACCUCACCUUUAGUGAUCCUGGAUCCCCUCAGCAACUUUGAAAUGGCGACUAAUUAUGUUACAAGCAACGGACUGUCCUUCGUCACACUCUACAUUGCACUGCACAUGUUUCACUAAGAAGAGCAAAAUAAUGCCCGAAGUUUUAAUUUACUUGAUGCCUGUUCAACCUUGAAUCCUAACACUACUAGCUAUGCAAGUGCAAGUUAAUCAACAAGAACAUUUGGCACGACUGUGUAGUUGACAGAAUUCAGAUGCUAAUAACAUGCUUUGAUCGUGGUUUCUGUAUCUAUCAGGACGGUAUAUUUACUAAACCCACCCCCUCUCUUAUUCUAACGUAUCCAUCUGCACGGUAAACUGGCGAAGAAUGAAAGAAUGGAAAACAAACGCUUGACAACGUGGGUACCAGAAUGCAAUUCCAAAAACACAAAAUUUUCCUCCCAUCAAAGCUGGAGACGAUGAACAUGAAUAUGCCGAAGAAACCCAACAUGUAGAACGAAAAAAAAUAAAAAUAAAAAUAAAAAUUGCAUCCCUAACGAGCCCACAGAAAGUAUUGGAGGAGUUGAACAGGAAGCCGAAGAACAAGAACCAUGACGCUCACCUCCAACCCACAAGAAAGGCAUCAGAACCAAACGGCAAUGCAAGGAAAAGAAAGCUGAAAGCAGAUAGUAUGGAAAUAAUAGUAAAAACAAUCCAACCUGCCCGAUCCCUCCCCCAUCUC